rnacentral:rRNA from 1 species
UACGUAGGGGGCGAGCGUUGUCCGGAUUUAUUGGGCGUAAAGAGCUCGUAGGCGGUUCGGUAAGUCAGAUGUAAAAACUCCAGGCUUAACUUGGAGAGGCCAUCUGAUACUGCCGUGACUAGAGUCCGGUAGAGGAGCACGGAAUUCCUGGUGUAGCGGUGAAAUGCGCAGAUAUCAGGAGGAACACCAGCGGCGAAGGCGGAUGCCUCUGGGGCCGGAACUGACGCUGAGGAGCGAAAGCGUGGGGAGCGAACAGG